rnacentral:lncRNA from 1 species
CUCUAUUAAGAAAACCUCUCCUACUUCUUCCUGUCACAUGGACCAAUCAUAACCAUUUAUUUAUUUAUUUAUUUAUUAUUUAAAUUAUUUCCACCUAGUUCAAAAUUAAGUAUUAAAUCUAUUAAAAUAUCUUAGUGUAGAGCUACUAUGUUAUCAAAAGUAUAAAGUAAUUGGUGCUUCCGAUUUUUUAGCCCUUGGAUCAAAAAUUCUACGGUUAGGAUGAUAGCAGUCCCCUUAGGAUUAAGUGGUUUCCUUAGGAUUGAGUGGUCUCCAUUGAUUAAUAAUAUUAAUCUAAUGAUUAGAAGUACCAACCAUUUUAUAAUUUCGAUAGUAUAGUAGCUCUGAUGAAUAUCUUAAGCCCAAAAUAGCUUUAUUUUGCAUACUCUAUU